GACGAACGCUGGCGGCGUGCUUAACACAUGCAAGUCGAACGGAAAGGCCCCUUCGGGGGUACUCGAGUGGCAAACGGGUGAGUAACACGUGAGUAACCUGCCCUUGACUUCGGGAUAACUUCAGGAAACUGGGGCUAAUACCGGAUAGGAAUCCUUGCUGCAUGGUGGGGGUUGGAAAGCUUCGGCGGUUUUGGAUGGACUCGCGGCUUAUCAGCUUGUUGGUGGGGUAGUGGCUUACCAAGGCUUUGACGGGUAGCCGGCCUGAGAGGGCGACCGGCCACAUUGGGACUGAGAUACGGCCCAGACUCCUACGGGAGGCAGCAGUGGGGAAUAUUGCACAAUGGGCGGAAGCCUGAUGCAGCAACGCCGCGUGCGGGAUGACGGCCUUCGGGUUGUAAACCGCUUUCAGCAGGGGCGAAGCUUGUGGUGACGGUACCUGCAGAAGAAGCACCGGCUAACUACGUG
rnacentral:rRNA from 1 species